UACGUAGGAUGCGAGCGUUGUCCGGAAUUAUUGGGCGUAAAGAGCUCGUAGGCGGUUUGUUGCGUCGGCUGUGAAAUCCCCGAGGCUCAACCUCGGGUCUGCAGUCGAUACGAGCAAACUAGAGUGUUGCAGGGGAGACUGGAAUUCCUGGUGUAGCGGUGAAAUGCGCAGAUAUCAGGAGGAACACCGGUGGCGAAGGCGGGUCUCUGGGCCGAAACUGACGCUGAGGAGCGAAAGCGUGGGGGAGCAAACAGG
rnacentral:rRNA from 1 species